GGAACAGCCCUGGUUUUCAGCCCUGUGAUGUGAGUGACAGAACAAGACUCAUUGUCCCUGCCUCUCCAGAACGUGAGCAGUUUUUACACUGUGAAAUUGGAUGUAACUUCUGUUCUUCUCUUGUGCAUUUGGAGACAUCUUGGUAUGUGCUAGUAUAUCUGCAUCAAGCAAGAAAAAUGGGAGCACUGGGGAUAUUUUCGGCCUUCAUGUUUGAAUAAGAAGUCAGAUGAAUUGCCAGGCAUAUGUAUGUGGAUUAUGGAUACAGAAGAAAAUUCCCAUUGUAUAAAGAAGAAUAUAUGCUGAGCACUGAAGCAGAGAAAAUGAGAGGUGUUUCUACCAAAUGAAAUAAAUAAAGUAACCAUACACCUCUAAGAAACUUGUAGGUGUUUGAGACCUUGUGAUAAAGCUACCACAUUAAGGCAGAAUCAUUGAAUCCUUAGAGUUGGAAGGGAUCUCUGAAGGCCAUAUAGUCCAAUUCCCCUGCAAUGACCAGGGAUACCACAGCCACAUCAGAUUGCCCAGGGCCUGAUCCAGCCUCGCCUGGAAAGUCUCCAGGGAUUGGGUAUCAACGACAACACUAGAUGCUAUAAAACGUCAGUGUUACAGAAACAAAAGUUUGAAAUCUGUAACAUCCCACACAUGAAAGGAGGAAAAGUGACAAGAUUUGCAAAUCCCCCAUGAGGUUAAGGUGAAAUGACACUCAAGUGCCAGUCUGAGAAACAUUUCAUCCACUUCUGACUUAGUGUCAUCUCAAACCAGCGUUGGCUUCUGUGACCAGGUGGAGCAGUUAAGCAAAGAUCUGUAUCUCCUUGGGAACUGGAAGAAGUAAUGAGGAAAGACAGAGUCAUGAGCUGGAUAAGAAAGUAUUUCAGUGUUCAAAGAAUACGACUGUCAAUGGACAUCAAGAGCCAUUACAUCAGCCAGCACCAAUUCUGUGAAAUCAGACCAUGGAAGCAGAAGGAGGUCAAUUUCUUCAUCCUUGGCAUCCUACCAGUACCUUUCCAAGCUACUUAUCUUCCAUUUUGCCUACGAGGAGUGUCCUUGCCACAUGCUUUUAGACUGACUAUGUUCUUGCCUGCACCUGGUCAGUGCAGUGAAUAGGGGCACUGGUGGAUGCUUUCCUAGGCUGAGCUUAGUUCAGUGUUUCCCUUAGUGUGCUGGAGGGGAACAGAAUUUUUUCGUGGAAAAGCAUCUGGAGAUUCCUCUCAAAUAAACAUGGUUGGAAAUUACAAAUUUUAACUGUUGGGUGGUGAUUAGAGGGGUGAAAAGAGCAUAUUACUAAAAGAAUGAAAUCUAAGAAAGGUACUUGUGCUUACUCCUUUAACUUACUACUUUUACUCAGCUAAAUUUUCAGUUAUUUCAGGUGCUGAAGCUGUGUAAAAUGGGCUUCAUAAACAAAGCUGAAGCUCCUGCUUGAUUUGAUUACUAGGCAUACUCACUUAGUGGUUUGACCAGUUGAUGUCAUUCAAUACAGUCAUUAAGAUACAGACUUAAUUUAAAUUGUAAAUAUUAUUUGACAAUUGUGUUGGUUAAUUUCUAAUAGAGUAAUAUAAUUCGUAGCCAUUUAGCUUUACCUAUACUAUUGUAUAUUUUUCACUAGCACUAAUAAUGCUCAUGACAGUAAGAAGGUUUCACCAUGAUUUUAAGUAAAUAAUAUAAUCAGAAAGGGCUUAAAAAGGUAGAUAGGUGAGAUGAUUUACUUAAGAGAUCUUUGUUUUUCAUCAGGGAAGCUUUCUGGCCUGAAGACAGGACGUCUUAAAGCUUCAUCUGACAAUCAGAAAAUAGCCAACAGAUGGAGAUAACUAAAGGUGUGUUAAAGAGGCAAGGGAUGGACAUCAACAUGACCAUCCCCAAAUAAAUGAGUGGAUCAUUACAAAUUCCCAGCACUUCUGUACACCUUCACUUGGAAAGAACAGAAGGAUUGAGAACUACUACUGCCCUAAAGUUCAGGAUGGGGAAGUCUCAGUGUUGAAGCACAGUCAGAUUAUCCAUGCCUAAAAAUGGAACUUUAAAAGCCAAACAUUUUAAAGGAACUAUCAAGAUGAAAAGGUUUUCUUUUUUUUUUUUUUUUUUUUAAUGCUGUUUUAAAACAGCAAUUUCACGCUUUUGAUAGGCUGCUGAAUGCCCAAAGAUAUAAAAUCCUCCACUCCACAACAUAAAUGUAGUGCCAAUUAUGUCUGG
rnacentral:lncRNA from 1 species